ACACUCAUAGGGCUUUUCUCCAGUGUGAACUCUGAGGUGGUGAAUGAGGUUACAGCUUUGACUGAAGCACUUCCCACAAUCACUACACUCAUAUGGCUUUUCUCCAGUGUGAACUCUGUGGUGUGUAAGGAGGUUAUAGCUCUGACU